GACGUAGGGUGCGAGCGUUGUCCGGAUUUAUUGGGCGUAAAGAGCUCGUAGGCGGCUCGUCGCGUCAGCUGUGAAAACCCGCAGCUUAACUGUGGGCUUGCAGCUGAUACGGGCGGGCUAGAGUUCGGUAGGGGAGACUGGAAUUCCUGGUGUAGCGGUGAAAUGCGCAGAUAUCAGGAGGAACACCGGUGGCGAAGGCGGGCCUCUGGGCCGAUACUGACGCUGAGGAGCGAAAGCGUGGGGAGCGAACAGG
rnacentral:rRNA from 1 species